rnacentral:tRNA from 1 species
UCCCGAGUAGCUCAGUUGGUAGUAGCGGGCGGCUGUGGUAAACACUGGCGAAAGUCACUGUUUUCCAUUAACCGCCAGGUCGUUGGUUCGAACCCAACCUCGGGAG